AUAAUCUAACAAUAUAACGCUUUAUAAAACAGUUUUUCUGAUAUAAAAUAAACGAAUUUGUCUCUUUUUUUGUACUCCUGUAUAUAGGAGACAGAGACAAGAGAAAUAAUAAUAUGUAUGUCGGUAUCGUGGCCUGCAACACGUCAUCAGAGUGCGCAGCUAAACAUAUCUCUCUAUCUCUAAGCUUCUCUUCCUUUAAAUGUAUUUGUAAAAUAUGAAUAUCAUACAGUGGAAGCCUGUAGGCCUUUGCAUGCAAUGCCCUGGUACAUUUUAGUGCUCAAAUUUCUGACAGCUAAACCGUGAGGUGGACAAUUAUUGUUUUAGGAAAGUAAAAACAAAAAAAAACAAUAAAACAGUAGGCUAUGAAGUUUUACAUUGAAACACAAGGAAUAGUGUUUUUGUAAAAUUUUAAAUAUGUCUCAUUAGGUCAAUAUCCCUCAAUUUAUUGGCCAAUAAGAUGGCUCUGACAGACACGAUCGCCUUGUUUCUAUCUCCUAGCCAACUUUGCAGUAUUUCUUUUUUUCAGUGGUUUUUUUCAGUGGUUUUUCAGUGGGUUUUUUCAGUGGUUUUUCAGUGGUUUUUUAGUGUUUUUUUCAGUGGUUUUUUUCAGUGGUUUUUUUCAGUGGUUUUUUUUCAGUGGUUUUUCAGUGGUUUUUCAGUGGUUUUUUAUGGUUUUUUUUAGUGGUUUUUUUCAGUGGUUUUUUUCAGUGGUUUUUCAGUGGGUUUUUUUCAGCGUUUUUUUUUCAGUGGUUUUUCAGUGGUUUUUUCAGUGGUUUUUUUCAGUGGUUUUUUUUCAGUGGUUUUUCAGUGGUUUUUCAGUGGUUUUUUAGUGGUUUUUUCAGUGGUUUUUUUCAGUGGUUUUUUCAGUGGUUUUUUUUCAGUGGUUUUUCAGUGGUUUUUCAGUGGUUUUUUAGUGUUUUUUUCAGUGGUUUUUUUCAGUGGUUUUUUUCAGUGGUUUUUCAGUGGUUUUUUUCAGUGGUUUUUUUCAGUGGUUUUUUUCAGUGGUUUUUUUUCAGUGGUUUUUCAGUGGGUUUUUUUCAGCAUUUUUUUUUCAGUGGUUUUUCUUACGUUAUUUUCCCAGAAUAUUUCUUGUAUUAUUACCUAUAGCCAGAAAUAACUUUUGGACAUUAG
rnacentral:lncRNA from 1 species